CUUCUACAUUGUUUUUGUUUAGCUUAGUCGCUUUGAAAACUGUGGAGGAGCAACAUGUCAUGAAUAUGUUAGGAAUAUUAUGAACAAGGUUAUGUCAAAUGGCGUCAUGAGCGAAUACAAUUUGAACGGGAAGUUCAAUAAGCUGUCUUUUCGAAAA